rnacentral:rRNA from 1 species
UACAGAGGGUGCGAGCGUUGUCCGGAAUCACUGGGCGUAAAGGGCGCGUAGGCGGCCUGGUAAGCGUGUGGUGAAAGCCCGGGGCUCAACCCCGGGUCUGCCGUGCGAACUGCCGGGCUCGAGCACAGUAGAGGCGGGUGGAAUUCCGGGUGUAGCGGUGGAAUGCGUAGAGAUCCGGAAGAACACCGGUGGCGAAGGCGGCCCGCUGGGCUGUUGCUGACGCUGAGGCGCGACAGCGUGGGGAGCAAACAGG